GGAUCGAACUCAGGACCUCGCACUUGCGAGGUAGGUGCCUGAACCACUGAGCUAAAUCCCCAGCCCUCCAGACAUAUAUUCUUAAAGGUCUAAGGAAGACAAGAACUAAGCCCUUCAAUUAUUUUAAAUUGUCAACUACUCAUCAAGAGAAAGAUAAGGACUCCCCUGCCUUCUUAGCUCAUUUAGAAGAGGCAUUGAUGAAACAUACAUCCCUAGCUCCUGAUUUGAUACGUACAGUAUUCUUAAGGACAAGUUUUUUGUCCAGCCAGUUUCAGAUAUUAGAAAAAAACUACAAAAGAUGGCUUUUGUUCCAGAUAGCUCACUUGAUACUUCAGUGAGAAUUGCUUCCUCAGUAUUUUAUAAUCGAGACCAGGAGGAAGCCAAGGAGUGAAAACAAAGAGAUCAAAACAAAAUGGCUGCCUUGGUUGCAGCCUUAAAAAGAAUAGACCCUAAGUCUGAUUCUCAGGGCUCCAGGAAGAGCUCGAUGACUAAACUCAGCUGGUACCACUUUGGAAAACCAGGCCACUUUAGGAGGGACUAUAGUAAGAACCAUCAGGACAAAAAGCCCCCUGAGCCAUACCCUGAUUGCAAAAGUAACCAAUGGAAGUUGGACUUCCCCCUGAGGGAAAGGCCCCAGGAAUCAGGCCCAUUUUAUCAGCUGGUCCAGAAAGAUUGAAGGGCCUGGAACACUGUCUGACUUCUUCCUCUGACCAGACUGUCAUCUCCAUGGAGGAGCGCUGGGUAGUCAUGACUAUAGAAGGAAAAGAAACCAACCUGUUUCUGGACACUGGCACCUGCCUCUUGGUCCUUCUUUUCAACUCUGGCCUUUCUUUCAGCCAUCAUACCUCAGUGAAAGGAGUCAUUAGAGAGGAGGAGAAGCCCUGCCCCUCUUUGCCUCUUACCUUGAAGCCUGUUCCUGCAGUGGCUCUGGUGGUGACAGAAGGGAAAGAAAAUUGGAGACCGUGUCCAUUUUGAGAACAUCUCCCAGAAUAAUUGCGCUGUGACACAUGGAGAGCGCAAAUGAAAAACAG
ensembl:lncRNA